UGCAUCGGCCAGGAAUCGAAACCGGGUCGCCCGCGUGGCAGGCGAGCAUUCUACCACUGAACCACCAAUGG
rnacentral:tRNA from 1 species